GAAAUGACCAGUUGGCGUGCUCGGUUCGUAGGGCAGGGCUCGCCUUCGGUGUGUGAACUGUGUUUUUCACUUGAGAGAUUCUGAAACUCUCUUGGCUGGACUGGUUGCCAUUUUAAAUUCACUUUUUUCUUUAAAAAAAACGGAAAUAAAUCCAAACAGAGAUAACCAACAUAAAAAGUCAGACUGGUCUUUAACUUAUUGCUCUCGGUGGACAUGAAAUAUCUGACGACCGACAGAUAUCAAUCCAACCCCCAAGAGUGACACCUUUUUAGCCACACGUUUUGGUUUCAAAGGAACAUUUCUUCCACACGAUGGAAAUCGAUAACUUGGGACCAGUGAUCUCAGAAGGACUGGAGGGAAUUUGAGGAACAAGGUCUUUCUUCAGAGAAUGGUGGGGGGGAUGGAUUUAAUGUCUGAAAGGUCAUCAGAAGCAGAGACUUUGAUCAUGGUUAGGUGAAAAUGCCGUAACCUAAAAAAGCUACAGACUAAGAACUGGAAAGUGGGAUGAGGUUACAACUACCUUUAAGUCAAAUAGACAUGAUGGGCUGAAUGGUGUCCUUCCGUGUUGUUAAUGCCUAAAAUUGUAUUGUCAGCCAAUAUGCCUUUAGCGUCUCAAAGUCUGUGCAAAGUUUCGUUCUCUUCACCACUUCCCUUCUUGUUUUCACGAGUUCCGUCAACUCUGUGCCUGUGAGUCACCCCACCCUAAUCUUGUUUUACCUUUUGUCACUAUUUGGUCUAUAGAAUAGAAAUUAUUUUGAGACAUCCAAAUACAUUUUUACGGCCUUGCUUUAAUUGUGGCUUCGUAUACAAUUCCAGUGACCCGUGCAGUGCUCAAUCAUGCAUAUCAGAAUGUCUCAAAGUGAGUGUCCAGACUUUACUAGCUCAUUUCAGGCAGCUGGAAGAUUUUAAUAUUGGAACAUGGGAAGAGAAGGAGGCCAUUCAUCCCCUCGAGCCAGUUCAACAUUCGAUGAGGUCAUGGCUGAUCUGUAGCUUAUGUACUUCCAUUGGACCCAUAUCCCUUUGCUUACCAAAAUGUACCUGUUUCAAAUUUAAAAUUAACAACUCAUUGAUUAUUGAUUUGGAAUAGCGAGGAAAUAAAGCUUAGCUCAGA